rnacentral:lncRNA from 1 species
AUACUGAUGACAGGAUAUCUAGGAAAAUAUCUGGAUCUCUCAAACUGCAGAGCAUGGCUGAGCUCUCAGAAGAAUUCAGCGAUAGCUCAUUAUGAACAAAAAUGCGGCAUUUUGUGAAGGGUGAAGUUGAUUGCAGACAGUUGAGUGCCGAAGAUAUACUGAAAGUCAGGUCUGUUGUAGACAUAGCCCUUGUUUAAGAAAAGUGUCAGAAUUUAUUUUAAAACUGUGUAGUUAAGGGAUUUGGGGGAGGGUUUUUUUUUUUUCUCCAAACCAUGUUGAAGUCUUGACAAGCUUUUGGCCAGUUCCCAUGAGUUUCCAUCUGGGUACGCGCGCUCAACAACAUCUUACUUUACUUAACGUUUGUUCUCAGCAGGCAUUCUCCUCCACAGAGCACUGUGGGUUGCACGGGAUGAAAGACACUUUGUGCGGUGCUGUCAGCAGUGCUGUGGAAGAGUGAGCUCAUGGCUUAUGUCAUCUAUCAUUGGAAAAGACAGAAGUCAUCAGAAUUCUUGAUUUGUAUGCAGUCAGGACACUUCCCACCCAUCACACCGAGGGACACACUUACUGGGUCCACCUGUUUCAGCUUUGGCAUAAGCCCUAUGUGACCUUGCUCAAGAAGGGGACAUCAUGAGCCUGGGAGACAUUUCUGAACACAGACACACAGCCUGGCCAGUGUAAAUUAAAACUGGAAAGUUCUUGGUGGCCACACACACAUCUGCUUAUUAAUUUCUCAACUAAGGUGUUCAUCUUCAUCACCCAGCAAUUCUUCCAACUUCAGCUUAUCACAUUGGGCUGGGCUUACUCUCCCUCUGUGCACCAGAAUUUAAACUCAGGUCAGUUGGCUCCAGAAUCUACAUUCUCAAAAUGUUGUGUAUACUGCCUUUAUCUUUAGAACAACAACAACAAAACAUCUAAAAUGGUACUUUCUUUGGCCUGCAG